AGAUCGCUGAGGGUGGCUGGUGGCGGCAGUGUUGUUGAUGAUGAUGGCAAGCUGCAUGAACACAGCUGCUGAUGGUUUUGGGACGAGCGAGGUGUCCAUGGUGUUAGAGACAGUGAGGAUGGUUUGAGUGGUGGUGCUGGCCCCUCAAGGUCACUUCGCUGCCUCUUUGCUCCAGUCCCAGCCCAGUGCAGGCCGCCCUCAGACUCCACCCAGGUCCCCUCCUGGUUGUACAGAGCCAUCCUGAGCCUGUACAUCCUCCUAGCCCUGGCCUUCAUCCUCUGCAUCAUCCUGUCAGCCUUCAUCAUGGUGAAGAAUGCUGAGAUGUCCAAGGAGCUGCUAGGCUUUAAAAGGGAGCUUUGGAAUGUCUCAAACUCCAUACAAGCAUGCGAAGAGAGACAGAAGGGAGGCUGGGAUUCCAUUCAGCAGAGCAUCACCAUGGUCAGGAGCAAGGUGGAGAAAUUAGAGAAGCUAUUAGCAGGCAUAGGAAACAUUGAUGCAAAGGUACAGAAAAUCUUGGAGGUGCUGCAGAAAAUGCCACG
rnacentral:sRNA from 1 species